GGAGGAGUGGCAGAGUGGUCGAUUGCAACGGUCUUGAAAACCGUCGUGCGUGAAAGCGUACCGUGGGUUCGAAUCCCACCUCCUCCGCCA
rnacentral:tRNA from 4 species